CGGAAAUACUGUUGCGCGCAGUUUUCGUCCUAAAUUGUUCCGUCCCGACUGGCCUGCGGUUUUCACAUUGUUCUCUCUUAUCUAUUACUUAAAAAUACAAUUGUCUUCUGUUGUCGUAUCAUUUUUCGUUGUCGUGGUGGAGUUUUUGCCGUUUGAGCCGUUCGCGGCCCUAAUGAGUCCGAAUCGUCCGGUCGUUUUGAGUCUAUGGAUCCAGCGUGCUUCUAUAGUGUCGGUCUUUUGUUCGGAUCGUCUUCUCGUUGGAUCGGUGUGAUCAUCCAUUCGCCUUCGGGAUUGUGUCGUCUAUCGUUGCAGUGUGUGUGUGUGUGUGUGUGUGUGUGUGUGUGUGUGUGUGUGUGUUUGAUUUGUGUAAAAAAAAAAAAAAAAAAAAAAAAAAAAAAAAAAAAAAAAAAAAAAAUUUGUGUAGGUAGAUCUUUUUACGAUCACAUAGUCGGAGUUUGUUUCUAUGGUGUCUCAUACGUACGCGUAGCAUUUUCGUUUCCGUUUGGUUUCCGUUAGCGCGAGGCGUGUUCUUUCGAUGUAUUCUUCGAGGGCGGUGUUGUUUGUCUUGGAUGGGCCCCAUUUGGAUCGUCUCUUGAACGGUGUCGUGCCGUAUGCGUGGACGGUUCUCUGUGCGAUAGCAUGGUCGGUGGUGUCUGGGUAUUCGUCUGUGUCUCCGUGGUUUGUGUCUCGUGUGUUGUUGUCCGUCGUUUGCCAACGGUUUGCGUGUAGUUUGAGUCUAAGUUUACGGGCGAAAUUGUCGAAUUCUUGGAUAUGGCGUUGUCGAUUGGGUCUCGUCUCGGUGGGUACGUACGUUAGCCCCUCGUCGAGUACGUGCACUGUUAGUUCGGUGUGUGAUAGUGUAGCGUGACUUCUGUUUACGACGUAUCUACCGACGGUGGCGGGGGUGUCAAGUAUGGAUUUUGGACUGUUUGAAACGGCGGAACGAGACUCUGACUAUUACAGUUACUGUUUAUCAUCAAAGUGUCUUCCACCUCGCUUAGCGAGUGGUGUAUGUUUCUGUUUCGGCGGCGGCGGCGUUGCCGUAGAGUCCACGCCACCGACCUCAAACGCGUCAUGGCAACCACGAAAAUGCUUAACGAACGCAGGCAAAAAGCAAAGGUAAACGAACUCAAACACCAGACUUCGUCCGCCCGGAAGAACCACCGCCACAGGCCAUGAGAAACCGCCAAUAACAUCCCCGGUAAUGGCACAAAACGGACCAGAAAGGGCCCCGUUGACACAUUGACACCCGAUUAUGAUCGUACUCACAUUGAACCUUUAUUAUUUGUAUCCGACCACAGAUCGUUCCAGACACACUGCAUCAGAAACAUCGCCAAUGACCGUUUACCCAAGGAUGUUUUCGCAGUUUGACGGUGAGUCUUGCUCCACCUCUAUCUUGUUCGCUAUGUAUUGUUCCGUUUGGGCUUAGACAAACACGCAUACCAGUCAAAGAAGAUGGAGAGCAUCAUACACCAUCAAGCAUACGUACGCAUGUCCAAGAGAGAGGACCUGAUUCCACCAUGGCUCCAAGUAUAGUGUUUUUCGUUCUCGGUCGCCCCGAAUCAGCGGACGCGUUUCGGUAUAGAACCUUUAUCAGCACUAUCGGAGUCGACGUUAGUCACGGACCGAGAAGAGAGGAGAACGAGAGGAGAGAAGAGACUCUUGUCUAUUUGUGAUGAUGCUCGUUUGAAAGACAGAAAAUUUGUCAUAUUUUCUCUAUGAAAGACAGCAAGGUGGUAGAGACUUGGUGCUAGUUAGACUCGAAGUAUGCAACCUCUUCACCACCCCUGCUAUUUUCAGGACGUCAACAAACUAAAGAGACAUCCAGUAAACAGGAAAAAUCGUAAAGAGACUGGGUUGAGUCUAUGGCACGUUUGCAAGUGAUCGUUGUGUCAGUGCGUCGAGUGCCAUGUCAAUCAAUAA